rnacentral:rRNA from 1 species
UUCGCAAUGCCCGAAAGGGUGACGAAGCGACGCCGCGUGAGCGAAGAAGGCCCUAGGGUUGUAAAGCUCUGUCGGGGGUUAUGAAAUGCAGGUUGGUUAAUACCCAACCUGUUUGACAAAGGCCCCAAAGGAAGCCACGGCUAACUCUGUGCCAGCAGCCGCGGUAAUACAGAGGUGGCAAGCGUUGUUCGGUAUUAUUGGGCGUAAAGAGCACGUAGGUGGUUUUGUAAGUCAGAUGUGAAAGCCUUCUGUUCAAAGGAAGAACGGCAUCUGAAACUGCAGAUCUUGAGUGUAGGAGGGGAGAGUGGAACUUCUGGUGGAGCGGUGAAAUGCGUAGAUAUCAGAAGGAACGCCGGCGGCGAAGGCGACUCUCUGGCCUAUUACUGACACUGAGUGUGCGAAAGUUAGGGGAGCAAACGGGAUUAGAUACCCCGGUAGUCCUAACUGUAAACGAUGGGCACUAAGUAGAGGGGUUUU